rnacentral:rRNA from 1 species
GACGAACGCUGGCGGCGUGCUUAACACAUGCAAGUCGAACGGAAAGGCCCUGCUUUUGUGGGGUGCUCGAGUGGCGAACGGGGGAGUAACACGUGAGUAACCUGCCCUUGACUUUGGGAUAACUUCAGGAAACUGGGGCUAAUACCGGAUAGGAGCUCCUGCUGCAUGGUGGGGGGUGGAAAGUUUCGGCGGUUGGGGAUGGACUCGCGGCUUAUCAGCUUAUUGGUGGGGUAGUGGCUUACCAGGGCUUUGACGGGUAGCCGGCCUGAGAGGGUGACCGGCCACAUUGGGCUUGAGAUACGGCCCAGCCUCCUACGGGAGGCAGCAGUGGGGAAUAUUGCACAAUGGGCGGAAGCCUGAUCCAGCAACGCCGCGUGCGGGAUGACGGCCUUCGGGUUGUAAACCGCUUUCGCCUGUGACGAAGCGUGAGUGACGGUAAUGGGUAAAGAAGCACCGGCUAACUACGUG